CCUACGGGAGGCAGCAGUGGGGAAUUUUGGACAAUGGGCGCAAGCCUGAUCCAGCCAUUCCGCGUGAGUGAAGAAGGCCUUCGGGUUGUAAAGCUCUUUCGCAAGAGAAGAAAACUUACUUUCUAAUAAAGAGUGAGGUUGACGGUAUCUUGAUAAGAAGCACCGGCUAACUACGUGCCAGCAGCCGCGGUAAUACGUAGGGUGCGAGCGUUAAUCGGAAUUACUGGGCGUAAAGCGUGCGCAGGCUGUUUUGUAAGUCAGAUGUGAAAUCCCCGAGCUCAACUUGGGAACUGCGUUUGAAACUACAAGACUAGAAUAUGUCAGAGGGGGGUAGAAUUCCACGUGUAGCAGUGAAAUGCGUAGAGAUGUGGAGGAAUACCAAUGGCGAAGGCAGCCCCCCUGGGAUAAUAUUGACGCUCAUGCACGAAAGCGUGGGGAGCAAACAGGAUUAGAUACCCUGGUAGUCCACGCCCUAAACGAUGUCUACUAGUUGUUGGUGGUAGUAAAAUCCAUGAGUAACGCAGCUACGCGUGAGUAGACCGCCGUGGGAAGUCGGUGCAGAUUAAACUUAAAUGAUUGNGG
rnacentral:rRNA from 1 species